AAGUCGUAACAAGGUCUCCGUAGGUGAACCUGCGGAGGGAUCAUUGAAGAGUUAGGGCCUCCGGCCCGACCUCCAACCCUUUGUACUUGAUACCAUGUUGCCUCGGGGGCGACCCUGCCGUCCGCGGUCUGGGGCCUCCGGUGGACCACUCAACCCUGCAUCUUUGCGUCUGAGUAAAUUUGUAAAUUAAACAAAACUUUCAACAACGGAUCUCUUGGUUCUG
rnacentral:misc_RNA from 1 species